rnacentral:tRNA from 1 species
GCCGGAGUGGUGAAAUUGGUAGACGCACUGGACUCAAAAUCCAGCGGGGCUCAAACCCCGUGCCGGUUCGAUUCCGGCCUCCGGCA